rnacentral:lncRNA from 1 species
GAGGUGACUGCCGAGGCGGCCAUCCUGCUUGGCCAGCUGAAGGACCAGGUGCCACCUCCUCUGGGAAGCUUUCCCUGCCCGUCCACAGGGUAUGCCUCCUUGUUCCUCUCCUGCCAUCGGUUUACGUGCCUGUCUCCAUCAACAGACCAGGAGCUCCUGAGGACAGGGACUGAGUCUGCCUGAUUCAUCUCUGCAUUCCUAGCACUUACCUUGGUGCUUAGUGAAAGCUCGAACCUGCCUGGGUUCCCACCUUGUCUCUGCUACCCCCAGCUCUGUGAACUCAGGCUGGAGUGCAAUGGCGUGAUCUCGGCUCACUGCAACCUCUGCCUCCCAGGUUCAAGCAAUUCUCCUGCCUCAGCCUCCCGAGUAGCUGGGAUUAUAGGCAUGCACCACCACGCCCAGCUCCUGCCUCUGUGAGUCACCCCCCCAAGUGCUCUGCCUGCAGCCACUUGCCCUGGCAGGAAGACCCUUGGGCAGGCCCCACCAUGGCUCCACUCUGGAAUGCUGGGCACUUUGCCCCACUACGCUCUACAAAGGCAUCCCUUCCUUCUGGGCAGAUAUAAAACACAGAGGGGCCCAGAUCUCAGGCCAGCCUGAACUGAGCUUCUCUGCAGGAUGAUCUCCUCACCAGAACCCCUGGACAGGAGGGUCUGCCAGAUCCCAGGAAGGAGAUGUGUGAAGCCAGCCUUGGUGACACUCCUGGGCCCCAUCCAGUCAGUUAUGAAAAGUCUCUGCUGCUAAACUCAUCUGCCUCAGCCUGUCUCUGGCCUGUCUUCUUUCUUUCUGCAUUUCUUCCUUUUAAAAAAGUUUAUUGCUCUUUUCUAAUGUUAAAAGUAACACAUACUGAUUGCAGAAAAUCCAGAAAAGCACAAAGAAAAAAAUUAAAAUCACUCGUAAUG